UACGUAGGCAGCAAGCGUUGUUCGGAAUUACUGGGCGUAAAGAGUGUGUAGGCGGUGUUCUAAGUUUGUCGUGAAAUCUCCCGGCUUAACUGGGAGGGUGCGGCGAAAACUGGAAUGCUAGAGGAUGGGAGAGGUAAGCGGAAUUCCUGGUGUAGCGGUGAAAUGCGCAGAUAUCAGGAGGAACACCGGUGGCGAAGGCGGUUCUCUGGGCAUGUCCUGACGCUGAGGAGCGAAAGUGUGGGGAGCGAACAGG
rnacentral:rRNA from 1 species